rnacentral:tRNA from 1 species
AAAGAGGUAAGCUAAAUUAAGCUAAUGGGCUCAUACCCCAAAGAUAGAUCAUUCUCCUCUUUA